rnacentral:rRNA from 1 species
CCCAGCUCGUCAUGCUAGAGCACUUUUUCAAUGUGCUCCCCGACGAGAAGGCGACAACGCAUUCGUAUGUCAAUCCAUAUCAACUUUUGAUGCCAUUGACUGUGCCUACCAUGGUGACCACGGUUAACGGGGAAUCAGGAUUCCAUUCCAUACAGGGACUCUGACAAAUGGCUACCACAUGCAAGGAAAGCAGCAGGAGCGCAAAUAACCCACUCCCGAUGUGGGAAGGUAGUGACG